UCAAGAACAUUCGACAAUGGGCGAAAGCCUGAUCGAGCGACGCCGCGUGCAGGAUGAAGGCCCUCGGGUUGUAAACUGCGGUAGUAGGGGAGGAACGCAAGUGACUGUACCCUAUGGAAAGAGGUUGGUAACUACGUGCCAGCACCAGCGGUAAUACGUAGACCUCAAGCGUUAUCCGGAUUUAUUGGGCGUAAAGCGCAUGUAGGAGGUCCGGUGCGUCUCUGGUUAAAGCCCACUGCCCAACGGUGGAAAUGCCAGAGAUACGAUCGGACUGGAGGAUGUGAGAGGUGCAUGGAACUCACGGUGUAGGGGUGAAAUCCGUUGAUAUCGUGGGGAACACCAAAGGCGAAGGCAGUGCACUGGUACAUUCCUGACUCUGAGAUGCGAAAGCGUGGGGAGC
rnacentral:rRNA from 1 species